GAUGAACGCUGGCGGCGUGCCUAAUACAUGCAAGUCGAGCGAACAGACGAGGAGCUUGCUCCUCUGACGUUAGCGGCGGACGGGUGAGUAACACGUGGAUAACCUACCUAUAAGACUGGGAUAACUUCGGGAAACCGGAGCUAAUACCGGAUAAUAUAUUGAACCGCAUGGUUCAAUAGUGAAAGACGGUUUUGCUGUCACUUAUAGAUGGAUCCGCGCCGCAUUAGCUAGUUGGUAAGGUAACGGCUUACCAAGGCGACGAUGCGUAGCCGACCUGAGAGGGUGAUCGGCCACACUGGAACUGAGACACGGUCCAGACUCCUACGGGAGGCAGCAGUAGGGAAUCUUCCGCAAUGGGCGAAAGCCUGACGGAGCAACGCCGCGUGAGUGAUGAAGGUCUUCGGAUCGUAAAACUCUGUUAUUAGGGAAGAACAAAUGUGUAAGUAACCAUGCACGUCUUGACGGUACCUAAUCAGAAAGCAACGGCUAACUACGUG
rnacentral:rRNA from 1 species